UACGGAGGUGGCAAGCGUUGCUCGGAAUCACUGGGCGUAAAGGGCGCGUAGGCGGGGGAGGUAAGUCGGGGUGUGAAAUCCCCUCGGCCCCAACCGAGGAACUGCGCCCGAGACUGCUUCUCUUGAGUCCCGGAGAGGAAGGUGGAAUUCCCGGUGUAGCGGUGAAAUGUGUAGAGAUCGGGAGGAACACCGGUGGCGAAGGCGGCCUCUGGACGGUGACUGACGCUGAGGCGCGAAAGCGUGGGGAGCAAACGGG
rnacentral:rRNA from 1 species